UACGUAUGGUGCAAGCGUUAUCCGGAUUUACUGGGCGUAAAGGGAGCGCAGGCGGCGCGCCAAGUCUGAUGUGAAACCCCGGGGCUCAACCCCGGGCAUGCAUUGGAAACUGGCGGGCUGGAGUGCCGGAGAGGUAAGCGGAAUUCCUAGUGUAGCGGUGAAAUGCGUAGAUAUUAGGAGGAACACCAGUGGCGAAGGCGGCUUACUGGACGGCAACUGACGCUGAGGCUCGAAGGCGUGGGGAGCAAACAGG
rnacentral:rRNA from 1 species